AACGGAACAAAAUGAAAAUAAGGUACUUGUCAUUUUAAGUUUCCGGAAUUAUGUUAGUAGAUGAAAAGUUCAGAAAAUGUGUUACCAAGGGAAAAGUGAGUUAGUGGAAACUGGUAUCUCUUAAUUCCCCUUAGAUUAAUGGGAAUUUAUAUGCCUAUAUAAAUAUAUGGGUAAAUUUAUAUCAAUGUAUAUAUUACCUUUAUAUAUUUCAUCUGUAUUAAGAUAUAUAUUCUCACAUAAUGGGACAUAUAAUGGAAAUAUGUGUAUAAACACCAGUAUUUCUAAUUUAAUUCUCAUUAGAUUAAUGGGAAUUUAUACUCAGAUAUUCAUAGAGCAGGAAUUUUUAUGGUGGGAGUAUUAAAUUAUAAACUGUAGCAUUGAAUUUUAUGGAUUCAGGAUUUAUGAUCAUUCAAACUUUUCAACGAAAUUGAUGGUUUGGUUGGAUACAAUAGCAUAAAGUUCAAAUUGAGGUUUAACAAUAUAAUGUGUUGUUGAAAGCAUUUUCUAAUUUUCACGUUAAGUUUGUUUCCAGAGUAUAAAUAUAAAAGAGUUUACAAGGAAUUUAUUGAUUCUGAAUUUUCAAAUAAGGGGCUAUGUUCUUGAUAAACUUCAUUUUAUUGAUUGCUUUCUAUUUUGAUUACAAUUACCAUGUAAUUUCCAAGGCUUCCUUUUGCUGUAGGGCAUGUGUGUGUGUGUGUGUGUGUGUGUUGUGUUGGUGUGUAUGUGUGUGUGCCAGUGGUAGUUAUUUUAAAGGAUGCUGUAUGAUGUAAAGUACCUGAUGGAUAACAGAAACUUCAUCUAAACUAGUUAUUUAAAAAUUACAGGAUAUUCUCAUCCUCAAGAUGCUGUAGAUGUUUGUUUGUUUGUUUGUUUGUUUUUUUGGGUUUUUUUUGCUGCACCUACCACAUAUGAAAGUUUCUGGGCCAGUGAUUGAACCCAUGCCACAGCAGUGACAACUACAGAAAUGCUGGAUCCUUAACCUGCUGCCCACCUAGAGAACUCCACAUUUUAGUUCUUUCCCAUUACGGAUUUUCUGAAACAGAGUGCACUCAAACUCAGAUUAUAUUUGUACGUGGGAGUCUCCAGUGUUAUGUAAUGUUGACAUGAACUUCUUAGGGUUCAAAUAUUAUGAAGCACAGAUUCAGGCCAAACUAUACUCUUUUAACAUAAUAGAGUUUAAUUGACUUAGUUUAUAGGUCCAACCUAUUGUCAGUUUCCUAUUAUUUACGAAGAUAUCUGUGUGCCUUACAAAAACAGAGCUAGAGGAAACACUUGUAGUUCUUAGUUUUUGUCAGCGAUGGCAUGGCUGUUACUAAGCGUUUCCUUCUCUCCCUCAGCUGUGCAGGAAGGAUAAGGCAGCCUCUUUUUCUCAUGGUGUCUUUAGUUGCUCUAAGUUAAAAACCAGCCACUUAGCAACUAGCAAGUUUGCUUCAAUGAUCUUCAGGAUCAAUAAGAAAACUAACCAAAUCGAUCUCCCAAUUUCCUACAGAGAUUUGUUUGUGAAUUUGGUUAUGAUUUAGUGCAUUCUUGGAGAAGGAAGGAUUUCAUGGCAAAAGUGAAAAAGGAAUCACGUUAUCUGGAUGAACUUCCCUAACCCCCCCUCUGCUGCUGAAUAGAUGGAGUGUACGCAAACAACAUCAUUGGUAGUUUUUCAUUUAAACACAAGUUGUCCUUACUAUUGUUAUUUUUUCUGCAGUCCACAUAGAAGUUAUGUGAUUGGUUCCCAAGCAGUAAGGGGAUCCUAAGAACACUUGCCGGGUUCUCCUAUUUGCAAUACUGAGUUUAUAAGUCCUGAAAAUAAUGUUAUUUGGACCUAAUUUACAGAGAUGCAGUAGCUUGCAUGGAAAGUACCCAGCUGGUAGGAGGCCUAUUGGUUUUCUCCAUUCCCUUGAGAAAUAAGGGCCAUGAAUUUCCAUAAAGCAAAUGAGCUUUGAGUUAAUACAGCAGUGAUCAGUAGCAGCUUCCCACUGAGAUGGGAGUGCUGGGUGAGCCAGGGGCAGAAGGGAACAAAUUGUCUCACAGUCAAAGAGAGUCACAGGAAGACAUUGUUAUUUUUCUGUUUUCUGAAAGGACCCCUGUGGAGAGAGGAGCAGGCAGUAGCAGUCAGGUUUACCACCUGCAGAGAUGCAGAAUGUCAGAGAAUCAGCGCAUGGGUUUCUUGGGCUGGACAGGAUAUUGGAGAUUGAGUUCUGACCUACCCUCAAGUCAAAAUGAUGGUGGGGGCAUCAUUUGGAGAAACAAAUGGAAGUGGCCCCCCUGCUGAUCUCAGGCCACAGGCAAAGGUAUGUCUCAAGGUUCCGCUUUGCACCAGGGGUGCCGACCUCCUACACUGAUCAUUACAGGGGGAAACCCACUCCGUAGACUAGAGGAGCAGGUAUGUGUGUGAUGACAAAUAUUCCAGGGAGAUGGGAAAAAUCUCGAAAGCAG
rnacentral:lncRNA from 1 species